rnacentral:rRNA from 1 species
AACGUAGGAGGCGAGCGUUAUCCGGAUUUACUGGGCGUAAAGCGUACGCAGGUGGCUUCGUUAGUCGGACGUGAAAGCUCCUGGCUUAACUGGGAGAGGCCGUUCGAUACUGCGGGGCUUGAGGUUGGAAGAGGGGUGCGGAAUUCCUGGUGUAGUGGUGGAAUGCGUAGAUAUCAGGAGGAACACCUGUGGCGAAAGCGGCACCCUGGUCCACACCUGACGCUGAGGUACGAAAGCGUGGGUAGCAAACAGG